rnacentral:rRNA from 1 species
ACACUGACGUCGCGACGCAUAUCAAUAAGCGGAGGAAAAGAAACUAACUAGGAUUCCCUCAGUAACGGCGAGUGAAGCGGGAAGAGCUCAAAUUUGAAAUCUUCAAGGUUCUACCUUGACGAAUUGUAGUUUAAAGAAGUGUUUUCUGUUGAAGUUUUGGUAAAAGUUCUUUGGAAUAGGACAUCAUAGAGGGUGAGAAUCCCGUAUUUGACCAUUAUUUUCAGCUGUGUGAUACACUUUCAAAGAGUCGGAUUGUUUGGGAAUGCAGUCCAAAAUGGGUGGUAAAUUUCAUCUAAAGCUAAAUAUUGGCGAGAGACCGAUAGCAAACAAGUACCGUGAGGGAAAGAUGAAAAGAACUUUGAAAAGAGAGUUAAACAGUACGUGAAAUUGUCAAAAGGGAAGCGUUUGACACCAGUGUUGUUUUCUCGAAAAUCAAUUAAAAAAGACUGGAUUUUGUGUUGUAUUGACUUUAUCAGCUUUCUGCACUCUUUUCUUGUCUUUUUUAAUGCACUUUUCGUUUAACAAGUCAACAUCAAUUUCUUUUGUUGUAAAAGGGUCAUUGGAAGGUGGCUUUCUUUUCGGAGAAAGUGUUUAUAGCCUUUGGCCUCUGCAAUCGGAGAGAUUGAGGUCUGCAGCGUAGAUCCUUCGGGGUUAGAUACAUUUGUGCUAAGUUAUAGCCUUUCAUAGACAACUUGUUGACUAUGAUUUAGUCAUUGUAGCUUACUCGCUUAUGCUAUUUUACCUACGCUUAGGAUGUUGAGACACGCGCGUGCUCGACUCUACACUGACGUCGCGACGCAUAUCAAUAAGCGGAGGAAAAGCAUAACAUGUAUACCUACGCUUAGGAUGUUGAGUCGUAGAGCACGCAG